UCCUAACUGAUAGCUGGUGCUUGCAUCAGCUUGACGAUAGAUCUGACCGAGUGGCGAACUGGUGAGUAACACGUGGGUAACCUGCCCAGAAGAAGGGGAUAACACCUGGAAACAGAUGCUAAUACCGUAUAACAACGAGAACCACAUGGUUCUCGUUUGAAAGAUGGCUUUUAUGCUAUCGCUUCUGGAUGGACCCGCGGCGUAUUAGCUAGUUGGUGAGAUAAUAGCUCACCAAGGCAAUGAUACGUAGCAGACCUGAGAGGGUAAUCUGCCACAAUGGGACUGAGACACGGCCCAUACUCCUACGGGAGGCAGCAGUAGGGAAUCUUCCACAAUGGACGAAAGUCUGAUGGAGCAACGCCGCGUGAGUGAAGAAGGGUUUCGGCUCGUAAAACUCUGUUGUUAGAGAAGAACGACCGUGAGAGCAACUGCUCACGGUGUGACGGUAUCUAACCAGAAAGUCACGGCUAACUACGUGCCAGCAGCCGCGGUAAUACGUAGGUGGCAAACGUUGUCCGGAUUUAUUGGGCGUAAAGCGAGCGCAGGCGGUUUUCUAAGUCUGAUGUGAAAGCCUUCGGCUUAACCGGAGAAGUGCAUCGGAAACUGGAUAACUUGAGUGCAGAAAAGGACAGUGGAACUUCAUGUGUAGCGGUGAAAUGCGUAGAUAUAUGAAGGAACACCAGUGGCGAAGGCGGCUGUCUGGUCUGCAUCUGACGCUGAGGCUCGAAAGCAUGGGUAGCAAACAGGAUUAGAUACCCUGGUAGUCCAUGCCGUAAACGAUGAAUGCUAGGUGUUGGGAGGUUUCCGCCUCUC
rnacentral:rRNA from 2 species